rnacentral:ncRNA from 1 species
AAAUAAGAUUUACUGUGAGAAGUCAGCUGACGUCGUAGUACCCAGAGCUAACGAGGUGCAUAAACUGCACAGGUCUCACAACUGGGGAAGGAC